rnacentral:tRNA from 1 species
GGACAGGUAUCUCAGUCGUAAGAGGUCUUAAUCGAAUGUUUAAGAAGUCGGUGGUUCAAUUCCAUCCCUGUCUCCCA